rnacentral:rRNA from 1 species
CAAGGUGCGAGUUUGAUCCUGGCUCAGGAUGAACGCUAGCGGCCUUAACACAUGCAAGUCGAGGGGUAUAGUUCUUCGGAACUAGAGACCGGCGCACGGGUGCGUAACGCGUAUGCAAUCUACCUUUCACAGAGGGAUAGCCCAGAGAAUUUGGAUUAAUACCUCAUAGUAUAAUUGAAUGGCAUCAUUUAAUUAUUAAAGUCACAACGGUGAAAGAUGAGCAUGCGUCCCAUUAGCUAGUUGGUAAGGUAACGGCUUACCAAGGCGACGAUGGGUAGGGGUCCUGAGAGGGAGAUCCCCCACACUGGUACUGAGACACGGACCAGACUCCUACGGGAGGCAGCAGUGAGGAAUAUUGGUCAAUGGGCGCAAGCCUGAACCAGCCAUGCCGCGUGCAGGAUGACGGUCCUAUGGAUUGUAAACUGCUUUUGUACAGGAAGAAACACUGGUUCGUGAACCAGCUUGACGGUACUGUAAGAAUAAGGAUCGGCUAACUCCGUGCCAGCAGCCGCGGUAAUACGGAGGAUCCAAGCGUUAUCCGGAAUCAUUGGGUUUAAGGUCCGUAGGCGGUCAGAUAAGUCAGUGGUGAGAGCCCAUCGCUCAACGGUGGAACGGCCAUUGAUACUGUCUGACUUGAAUUAUUAGGAAGUAGCUAGAAUAUGUAGUGUAGCGGUGAAAUGCUUAGAGAUUACAUGGAAUACCAAUUGCGAAGGCAGGUUACUACUAAUGGAUUGACGCUGAUGGACGAAGCGUGGGUAGCGAACAGGAUUAGAUACCCUGGUAGUCCACGCCGUAAACGAUGGAUACUAGCUGUUGGGGGCAAUCUCAGUGGCUAAGCGAAAGUGAUAAGUAUCCCACCUGGGGAGUACGUUCGCAAGAAUGAAACUCAAAGGAAUUGACGGGCCGCACAAGCGGUGGAGCAUGUGGUUUAAUUCGAUGAUACGCGAGGAACCUUACCAAGGCUUAAAUGUAGAUUGACCGGUUUGGAACAGAUCUUUCGCAAGACAAUUUACAAGGUGCUGCAUUCUUGUCGUCAGCUCGUGCCGUGAGGUGUCAGGUUAAGUCCUAUAACGAGCGCAACCCCUGUUGUUAGUUGCCAGCGCAUGUCGGGAACUCUAACGAGACUGCCAGUGCAAACUGUGAGGAAGGUGGGGAUGACGUCAAAUCAUCACGGCCCUUACCUUGGGCUACACACGUGCUACAAUGGCCGGUACAGAGAGCAGCCACUGGGCGACCAGGAGCGAAUCUAUAAAACCGGUCACAGUUCGGAUCGGAGUCUGCAACUCGACUCCGUGAAGCUGGAAUCGCUAGUAAUCGGAUAUCAGCCAUGAUCCGGUGAAUACGUUCCCGGGCCUUGUACACACCGCCCGUCAAGCCAUGGAAGCUGGGGUGCCUGAAGUCGGUGACCGCAAGGAGCUGCCUAGGGUAAAACUGGUAACUAGGGCUAAGUCGUAACAAGGUAACCUCC